CUUGAUGUUAUCUGAUGUUGAGGUUCCAUGGUCUAUCUGCUAUCCAGGCUAUGUAUCUUUGGGGAGAUGCACUACUCUUUGUUGGUUUCCUCUAACUGUGUUUGCUGCUACCAAGUGAUAGGAGGGAUACUAUGAAGAUGGGGCUCUAGGAAGUGAAUGGAAGUCUUUUAAUAGUUCACAUAUGCGAAGGUGAUAAAACAAAGAACUAGCAACCCCAGGAUACAACGUCUUUUCUCCAUUGGAAACUCUUGUACAAAGAAGGAAAUAUAGCGGUCCCCACCUGAGAGGAAAAAAUCCACAAACAUCAGACCCUCGAAUCCUCAGAAAAAACUUACAGAAAGAUACAAAUAUGUACCUUACACAUAAACUGUCUUUGCAUCAAAAUUUGUUUCAUGAAUGUAUUUGAACUAUACUAUAACUAUACUGUAACUAUACUAUAUGUAUAAUUCACACUAAAGUAUGGUUUAGUGUGACAUGCAUGAGUAAUAACAAGCUACAGUGAGCCUCAGCCUCGUGUGCUCCCCACUUUCCUCUCCUGCUCUCCUAUUGGGUGAAGGAGUUUAUUAAUUAUAGUAUGCCAUGCCAGAACUAUGGUUAAUGUUAUAUGUGUUUAGUUUCAACAACUAAGAACUCUAAUAAAGGAGUAUGAUUAACAGAUAAAUGAACAACUGAGAUAGAAAUU